GAGCUUCGAGAAGAACCAGAACCCAGAGUGGAACCAGGUCUUCGCCUUCGCCAGAGACCAGCUGCAAGCCUCCGAGCUGGAGGUGGUCGUCAAGGAAAAAUCCCUGCUCAGGGACGACCAUCUGGGGCUGGUCCGCCUCGACGUCUACGAGGUGCCGAGGCGCGUGCCCCCGGACAGCCCCCUCGCCCCGGAGUGGUACCGGCUUGAGAACAAGAAGGGGGAGAAGCUCAUGUGCGAGCUCAUGCUGGCCGUCUGGUUCGGCUCGCAGGCGGACGAGACCUUCCCCGACGCCGUGAUCUCAGAUGCGAUGGUGACCUCGGAGGAGAGCCCCGCCAGCGCUCACCUGCGGGGCAAGGUCUACCACGCGCCUCGGCUCUGGUACAUCCGGGUCAGGAUCAUCAAAGCCCAGGACAUCGUGCCGGCGGGGGACGAGGGCAAGCCGGCGGAGGUGAGAGUCAGUGCCCAGG
rnacentral:lncRNA from 1 species